rnacentral:tRNA from 2 species
GGGCCUGUAGUUUAGUUGGCUAGAACACUUGCAUGGCAUGCAAGAGGUCAGGGGUUCAAGUCCCCUCAGGUCCA